AUGUCCUACGGGACGCAGCAGUGGGGAAUAUUGCACAAUGGGGGAAACCCUGAUGCAGCAACGCCGCGUGAGUGAAGAAGUAUUUCGGUAUGUAAAGCUCUAUCAGCAGGGAAGAAGAAAGACGGUACCUGACUAAGAAGCCCCGGCUAACUACGUGCCAGCAGCCGCGGUAAUACGUAGGUGGCAAGCGUUAUCCGGAUUUACUGGGUGUAAAGUGCGUGUAGGCGGGAGAGCAAGUCAGACGUGAAAU
rnacentral:rRNA from 1 species